rfam:Triticum urartu cultivar G1812 contig1398670, whole genome shotgun sequence.
AGGAGGGUUCCUUUAUAGGUAAGAAGGGUUGAGCUGUAAACUCAAUAGCUAAAGCUUUUAAGAGUUCGAAUCUCUUGUCUCCUA